UGUGGAACGAGCGGCGGACGGGUGAGUAACACGUGGGCAACCUGCCUGUAAGAUUGGGAUAACCCCGGGAAACCGGGGCUAAUACCGGAUAAUACUUUUCGUUGCAUAACGAGAAGUUGAAAGGCGGCUUUUAUAUGUCACUUACAGAUGGGCCCGCGGCGCAUUAGCUAGUUGGUAAGGUAACGGCUUACCAAGGCGACGAUGCGUAGCCGACCUGAGAGGGUGAUCGGCCACACUGGGACUGAGACACGGCCCAGACUCCUACGGGAGGCAGCAGUAGGGAAUCUUCCGCAAUGGACGAAAGUCUGACGGAGCAACGCCGCGUGAGUGAUGAAGGUUUUCGGAUCGUAAAACUCUGUUGUCAGGGAAGAACAAGUGCCGUUCAAAUAGGGCGGCACCUUGACGGUACCUGACCAGAAAGCCCCGGCUAACUACGUGCCAGCAGCCGCGGUAAUACGUAGGGGGCAAGCGUUGUCCGGAAUUAUUGGGCGUAAAGCGCGCGCAGGCGGUCCUUUAAGUCUGAUGUGAAAGCCCACGGCUUAACCGUGGAGGGCCAUUGGAAACUGGAGGACUUGAGUACAGAAGAGGAGAGUGGAAUUCCACGUGUAGCGGUGAAAUGCGUAGAGAUGUGGAGGAACACCAGUGGCGAAGGCGACUCUCUGGUCUGUAACUGACGCUGAGGUGCGAAAGCGUGGGGAGCGAACAGGAUUAGAUACCCUGGUAGUCCACGCCGUAAACGAUGAGUGCUAGGUGUUAGGGGGUUUCCGCCCCUUAGUGCUGAAGUUAACGCAUUAAGCACUCCGCCUGGGGAGUACGGCCGCAAGGCUGAAACUCAAAAGAAUUGACGGGGGCCCGCACAAGCGGUGGAGCAUGUGGUUUAAUUCGAAGCAACGCGAAGAACCUUACCAGGUCUUGACAUCCUCUGCCAAUCCUAGAGAUAGGAUGUUCCCUUCGGGGACAGAGUGACAGGUGGUGCAUGGUUGUCGUCAGCUCGUGUCUU
rnacentral:rRNA from 1 species